UACGGGGGGUGCGAGCGUUGUCCGGAAUCACUGGGCGUAAAGGGCGCGUAGGCGGCCCGGUAAGUAGGGGGUGAAAUCCUGCGGCUUAACCGCAGGGCUGCCUUCUAAACUGUCGGGCUCGAGCACGGUAGAGGCAGAUGGAAUUCCCGGUGUAGCGGUGGAAUGCGUAGAGAUCGGGAAGAACAUCAGUGGCGAAGGCGGUCUGCUGGGCCGUUGCUGACGCUGAGGCGCGACAGCGUGGGGAGCAAACAGG
rnacentral:rRNA from 1 species